GACGAACGCUGGCGGCGUGCUUAACACAUGCAAGUCGAACGGUGAAGCGCCUUCCUUUUUGGUGGGUGUGGAUGAGUGGCGAACGGGUGAGUAACACGUGAGUAACCUGCCCCCUUCUUCUGGAUAACCGCAUGAAAGUGUGGCUAAUACGGGAUAUUCUGGGUCUGUCGCAUGAUGGGUCUGGGAAAGGUAUUGUUUCGGUGGGGGAUGGGCUCGCGGCCUAUCAGCUUGUUGGUGGGGUGAUGGCCUACCAAGGCGGUGACGGGUAGCCGGCCUGAGAGGGUGGACGGUCACACUGGGACUGAGACACGGCCCAGACUCCUACGGGAGGCAGCAGUGGGGAAUAUUGCACAAUGGGCGCAAGCCUGAUGCAGCGACGCCGCGUGAGGGAUGGAGGCCUUCGGGUUGUGAACCUCUUUCGCCAGUGAAGCAGGCCUGCCUCGUUUGUGGGUGGGUUGACGGUAGCUGGAUAAGAAGCGCCGGCUAACUACGUG
rnacentral:rRNA from 1 species